GAUGAACGCUGGCGGUGUGCCUAAUACAUGCAAGUCGUACGCAUUCUCGUUUCUGAUUGACGGUGCUUGCACCUAAUUGACGAGACAUUGGAAUGAGUGGCGGACGGGUGAGUAACACGUGGGUAACCUGCCCAGAAGCGGGGAUAACAUUUGGAAACAGAUGCUAAUACCGCAUAAAAGUCAAAACCACAUGGUUUUGAUUUAAAAGAUGUCCUUUGUGCUAUCACUUCUGGAUGGACCCGCGGCGUAUUAGCUAGUUGGUAAGGUAAUGGCUACCAAGGCAAUGAUACGUAGCCGAACUGAGAGGUUGAUCGGCCACAAUGGGACUGAGACACGGCCCAUACUCCUGCGGGAGGCAGCAGUAGGGAAUCUUCCACAAUGGGCGCAAGCCUGAUGGAGCAACACCGCGUGAGUGAAGAAGGGUUUCGGCUCGUAAAACUCUGUUGUUAAAGAAGAACGUAUCUAAGAGUAACUGCUUAGGUAGUGACGGUAUUUAACCAGAAAGCCACGGCUAACUACGUGCCAGCCGCCGCCGUAA
rnacentral:rRNA from 1 species